rnacentral:misc_RNA from 1 species
UACCGGAAGUUAGAGGAUGUUCAAGUUCUUGAAAGGCGUCGUCGGCGGAUCCGGGACGGGACUCAAGGAUCUGCCUUACAACAUCGGCGAACCUUAUUCCAUUGCUUGGGGAUCGUGGGUUCACUACCGUGGCACUUCCAAGGAUGAUGGUGCUCCUGUCUCAAUAUUUGCGCUUACGGGGUGUAAUGCAAAUGAUGGACAUCUAGCUGCUG